rnacentral:rRNA from 1 species
GACGAACGCUGGCGGCGUGCUUAACACAUGCAAGUCGAACGGAAAGGCCCUGCUUUUGUGGGGUGCUCGAGUGGCGAACGGGUGAGUAACACGUGAGUAACCUGCCCUUGACUUUGGGAUAACUUCAGGAAACUGGGGCUAAUACCGGAUAGGAGCUCCUGCUGCAUGGUGGGGGUUGGAAAGUUUCGGCGGUUGGGGAUGGACUCGCGGCUUAUCAGCUUGUUGGUGGGGUAGUGGCUUACCAAGGCUUUGACGGGUAGCCGGCCUGAGAGGGUGACCGGCCACAUUGGGACUGAGAUACGGCCCAGACUCCUACGGGAGGAAGAAGUGGGGAAUAUUGCACAAUGGGCGGAAGCCUGAUGCAGCAACGCCGCGUGCGGGAUGACGGCCUUCGGGUUGUAAACCGCUUUCGCCUGUGACGAAGCGUGAGUGACGGUAAUGGGUAAAGAAGCACCGGCUAACUACGU